GACGAACGCUGGCGGCGUGCCUAAUACAUGCAAGUAGAACGCUGAAGGAGGAGCUUGCUUCUCUGGAUGAGUUGCGAACGGGUGAGUAACGCGUAGGUAACCUGCCUGGUAGCGGAGGAUAACUAUUGGAAACGAUAGCUAAUACCGCAUAAUAGUAGAUGUUGCAUGACAUUUGCUUAAAAGGUGCAAUUGCAUCACUACCAGAUGGACCUGCGUUGUAUUAGCUAGUUGGUGGGGUAACGGCUCACCAAGGCGACGAUACAUAGCCGACCUGAGAGGGGGAUCGGCCACACUGGGACUGAGACACGGCCCAGACUCCUACGGGAGGCAGCAGUAGGGAAUCUUCGGCAAUAGACGGAAGUCUGACCGAGCAACGCCGCGUGAGUGAAGAAGGUUUUCGGAUCGUAAAGCUCUGUUGUAAGAGAAGAACGAGUGUGAGAGUGGAAAGUUCACACUGUGACGGUAUCUUACCAGAAAGGGACGGCUAACUACGUG
rnacentral:rRNA from 1 species